rnacentral:misc_RNA from 1 species
UGAUUUACUGUUACUAUGUCCUCAAUGAUGUAGUUGGUUUGCAAUAUGAGUGUAAUGAUUUCUAUUGGGUAGUGGAGUUUAGUAUCCAUUUUUUUGUUGAUUUUUCACUGAACUGAACUUGCUCUUUUAUUCCCUGUUUAUUACUGUCUUACGCAUGUACUUUGUAGCAUAUAGCAGUAGGUUAGUGCUUGCUUAUUAGGAGUACUUGAAAGUGAUCAUAUUGGACGUGAAGAGCUGAGUGUUUGCUUGAAAGUCACAUGUCAGAGUAGAUUCUCAACCUCAUCUUCAACUAAAGAUUCUAACUCGUUAAUUUUUUUAUAGGAAAAUAGCACUAUGGGAUCAAUA